AGCAAGUGUAUAUAUAUAUAUAUAUAUAUAUAUGUAUAUAUAGUGCAUGUUUCUGUAGACUGUUUGGCUCGGACAAGUCUAAGCUGCAGGGCACAACAGGGCAGUCGUCACAGUUGACAUUUGGCAACAUUUGCAGGAACGUGCAAAUAGGAUGCCAAGCAAGUUUUGAAACAUCAAGGAAAUGGCUUUGAAUGUGGUACCCAGGAAGACAAACAUCUGCACACUGGAUCAGUAUAUCCUCUAUGCCCUCCUGCUAAGUGUAUCUUACUCCACCUCACGCCUGCCCCUGAGUCUCCAGAGAGUUCUCCAGCCCCAGAGCUCAUUCCAGAAUCCUCUUCAUCCUCCAGUCUGGACACCAAAUUGACCCCAGCACAGAGAGGGAGACGUUUGGUGCUGGCAACCAAGGUGGCGGAUCUUCCCAUGAAGUCAGUCCGUUCAUCUCUAAAAAUAUUACCGGCAGUUCCAGAGCUCCCCAGUCCAGUGAUCCCAGAGCUCUCAAAUCCAUUGGUCCCAAGUCCGCUGGUCCCAGCACUUCUGCGUCCAGUGGUCACAGAGGUACUUCCACCGUCAGCUGUGUUUCCUGUGAUGCAACUGCCGUUUUGUGUGUUUGGGCCUCAUACACUUCUCCUGCUUCUUACAAAGUGUCAGAGAACGCUACUGCUCCUCCCAAGGUGGCUACCAACUCUCAGAAAAAUAACUCUUUCUUACUAGGUACAGUACUACUCAGUAAAAGGUAAAGUAGCUGUGAUCGCAUUGUUAAAGAAACUGUUUUGCAAGCAGUGAUCACAGAAUCAAUACAAAUGUGAAUGUUCACAAAAGUUUUAUUUAACUAAAUCACGAACAUAUAACUAGUCUAAACAAACGCAUACACACAAUCACAUACAUGGGUAAAAUGGUGAAAGCAAACAAAUGAAACCGAAAUAGAAACAGGGGAAUGAGGCCAUGGAAUUGUAAUUGUCUGUUAACCACCUGAAAAAAAAACACCAUCAGUUUCUUAAUUUAAAGCACCCUGGUAGCAAGGGGCCUACAGUUUGGACUAAACCUCUGUUUAGUUAGUUAUAUGUGCAAUACUUGCAAUGCCUUAGCCGUUGGAUGAGCAUCCAGAUGAAGUCUCAGAGGAAAGUCUUGAUGGUUCCAUGGUUCCAUGGUGGAGAAGAUGUCGGCAGAGACCUCUCCCAGGUGGAAAGUUACAAAAUGGCUUGAUGUAUUGAGGCCCUGCUGUGAGGAGUCCUGCAGCAUUGCGGAGUCCCAAAGUGAGGUCCCAUGGUGUUGCUGUUGGACCAGACAUCUACACUCUUUUCCCACAUGAACAGCAACGAGAAGAGCGUGAAGGUCACUGAGAUAGUGGAAUCUGCUAUAUCUGAAAUCCAUUCCUUAACUCCCUCCUGUACUUUCUCCUGUAAAUGUCAUGUUGCCAUGGUUACUAAUCACCUACUCCUGGUCCUCAUCACCACACCAGUCAGUUCCCCUUCAAAAGGCACACACAUUCGCUCAGUCUUAGUUCUAGCCACAUCAAGGUCUCAGACCCCCUUACCUGCAAACUUUAUCUACUGUGUAUGUUCUCCAGUGAUCUGCUUGGGACCUAGUAGGACAUUCCAAGUUAUUCAUCUGCAUAUUACAUUGAACGUAAAUUUAUACAUGUUUCACCUGUCACCUGAUUUGAUACGUUUCACCUGUUUCUGGGUUCUGGUAACACAAUGUGCUUGUUGCUUUCUCUAUUUCUGUUUUAUUAUGUGAUAGAAAGCCUAAGGCCUUCUCAAGCCAUUUGGCAAACCCAUCAAAUCUGCUGCCUAUUACACAAACUAAGAUUACUGUGGAGACAGGAAGUAAGACUGUUAGCACUUUUAAACAUCCACUCACUUAAAAAUAAAUCACUUCUAGUCAAUGAAUUAAUAAUGACAAACAACCUAGAUUUUAUGCUUCUAAAUGAAAUGUGGCUAGAAGACAGCUGCAGCUCAACAGUCCUCAAUAAAACAGCCCCCCCUAACUGUACUUUUAUGAGUGUCUGCAGAGCUGUUAGGAGAGGUGGAGGUGUAGCUGCUCUAUUUAAAAAUGUCUAUCAAUGCAAGCAAAUGUCAUUUGGUGAUUACUUGUGUAAUGAAACUAAGUCUCACUCUGUAAUGGAAAUGAAAACGUUACCAUGGAUGACUUAAGAGUGAAAGGAUCUUGGUCUGGUGCUUUGAGUCUCGAUUAUGCACAAUGUGUGAAUAUGUUUUAUCUUAGACUAUUGUAAUAUAUAAUACAGGAAUAGAUAGUGUGGGCUUCAGGUCAGUAAGUGUCAACCCGGUGGCUUCCUGAAGUAUAGAUAUGUGAUAUAAAGUGACAACUCAAAUUCACGUUCCCACCCUCCUAAUCCUAACAGUCUAAGUGAGAUGCCCCUACUCCAAGGUUAGUAAAAAAAACAAACAAACAAACAAACAAAAAAAAAACAA